ACAAGGUUGUUCUUCAUUGAUGUAUCUGAGGGUCUGUAGCUCAGUUGGUUAGAGCACACGCUUGAUAAGCGUGGGGUCACAAGUUCAAGUCUUGUCAGACCCACCAAGUCUACUGAACACAGAAGAGCAGAUAUAUUAAGAUCUUAAGCUGGGGACUUAGCUUAGUUGGUAGAGCGCCUGCUUUGCACGCAGGAGGUCAACGGUUCGACUCCGUUAGUCUCCACCAUCACUUACAUUGAACUUAAAAUGUUCAAAUAGACGUAAGAUAAGUUAAGAAAUAAGCAUAUAGUUGAUUAGAUCCUAGAGAUUAACAAAUGGAUGGCGUAGUAUA
rnacentral:tRNA from 1 species